CUGUCCAUCUCUUCCUCCCAUCUCAUAUGUUGAUUAUUUGUCAUUUUUUAAGUUUCACUUAAACUAGUCUAACCCAUCUCACCUCCUCUAAUAUUUUGGACUAAGUUCCACCCAUUAAAUUUCUGGUGUUAUUAAACAAAUUUACACAACUGCUUCUUUGUUUUAUCCCUUCUUCAGAUCUACAGCAGACCAUCUUUCCUGUCUCACUUUCUUCAUUUUUAAUUUCAAAUCUAAGAUUUACGCAUUGACCCAGUCUGGUUCAGAAAACCGACCAAGUCACCGAUUCUGACCGGUUUAGACCGAGUCAUACCGGUUCACACCGGUUUGAGUGCAUGUCCGAUCCAUCAUGCAACUCGAACCGGAUAUGCCACCGGUUCGACCGGCCAGUCCGGUCCGGGUUUUAAAACUAUGACGAGAAUGGUUGUCGCAAUAUAGCACUACUCUUUCAACUAUGAUUGUUAAUUAAUACUUACGUGAUUCAUGAAUAUUGUCACACCCGCUCAUCAUAUUCAACCUUCAAAUAUGAUAGUCGAAAUCAAACAAAAUAUAUUGUGAUUUUAACCACAAGAAAGUUUGAAUGUUGAUCUUCUCUGAUAAGGCGACAAGACGAGUGUAACGCCCCGAUAUUUUAUACAUAUAAUUUUAAAUAAAUAUUUCUCAACAAUUUAUUUUAUGUGUGAAAAUUUUAAGAAAAUCUUAACAUUACUCUACUUUUGUUAAAUGAACUAGAAUGUUAUUCCAUCUAUUGCAUUUUUAUUUGUAAUUUAUUCUAAAGCUCCUUUUUGUCUUAUAUUUAUUAGUUUUUUAUUUUAUUUUGACAUGGUCAUAUUAGUUAAAGCUGCACGUUUUUUAGCCUAAUUGCUCGGUCAAAUAUGUAACCUGCACCUAUAUGUUGGUCACGUCUCAGUCCCCUCCUCUGAUCCUCUCCUAAUUUAACAUUCCCUGCCUUUUGUAGAAAAUAAUAGAAGAACAAAAGAAAGAAAACAUUUUCGUUUUUAUCAAACUUGCCACCAUAGAAUUACGACUGCACCUUCAUUCAUCGUUCGAUCACGCUAUUUUUUGGAAAGCAUGAUCACAACAGAUGAUUCUUCAUUUUCAAUGGUCCAAUCAUCAAAAUGAUGUCUGAAGCAAGAGAAAUCGUGUCUGCAUCAUAGCUAUGAGUUGAGGCUUAGAGUUGUGGCGACUUAGGAAUGAAAGCACACAAGGUACGAAGGAAUGAAAUAUGAAGUUGUUUUGUGAUGGAAGCGUACUCGGAGACAAAAAUUGGAUUUUAUCAUAUUAUAAUUUUUAAAAUAUUUUUGAACUCUAUUAUUGUCUCUGUUGAGAAAGAAUCAAUUUUAAAGAGUAAUUUUUUAUUAAUUCAUUUUUA